GGGGGGAGGUGGUAACGACAGGAGGGGAGUGUGGGUUCUGUGUGGUUCUGGGUCAGUGCUUCCCUAGAUGUCAGCUGCUGGCUGUUCCUGGAUGAGGAGAUUGGAAAAUGAACGUGUUCACACUGCAAGAUUUGGGCAGAUACUCAGAAUUGGGGCUCACAGGGCACUGGGCCUGUAGAGCUGGGCUAACAGACCGGGCCAAAAGCUAACCUGAGGGCUGUGCUGGUGACCGGUGAAGACGGAAGAUGCCAACAAUAAUGUUGGCCUUAGCGGGAGGCGAAAUACUAGGACUUGGAUCUGGAACAGUGGCAAGGAUCAGAUUGCAGAGGUCGUACAGACCGUGUUGAAGACCUAUUGCUCCCGUGAUGGGGAGACGUUGAACCUCUUCAUCUCUACGUGGUUAUUACCAAUGGGACUAAACUACAUUCAGAGCAGAGGCUGCUGACUUGUUGUGAAAACUAUAGUGUAAACAGAAACAUGGAACAUGCUGCUGAAGACCGAGGUCAAGGCCAAAACCCCGGAGUCCCUGACAUGAAUACAGCUCCAUGCAAACUCCUCGGAAGAAGCUAUUCAUAUUUUGGGAACUGAACAAGCCUUGAACAAGAUGGAUGUAGUUCUGGUCUUUAUGGAGUAUACUGCCCUUGAGAGAGAGACCUCAAAUGAUAACAGAUGAGAUCUAAAGAGGUUUUGAAUGACAGUGGCUAAUUUACACAGAGCCUUGGAGUAAAGAACAGAUUAAGGACAUGUGACCUUCCCACCCAAGUCUUUGAUUCCAGCUGGCCUCAAGAUAUCUGCUAUUAAUUUGAGACUGAUUGCCCUGGAAACUUGGAAGCAAAAACCUAAACCAGCCUUGAGAAUUUUAUCUAGUUUCAAUAUGUCAUCCCACUGCCUACUGGCUUUCAUAACUUUGAUGAGGAGUCAGCUGUUAAUCUCAUUGAGCCUCCUUGACAUGUGAUGAGCUGCUUUUGCUAUAUUCGAGGUUCUCUGUCUUUGACACUGACACUCAGAGCUGAAAAACAUGUGAAGACACAGGGAGAAGACAGCCAUCUGCAAGCCAAGUGGAAAGGUUAAGAGGAAACAAGCCCUGCUGAUACCUUAAUCUUGGACUUCUAUCCUUCAGAAUUGUAAGAAAAUAAAUGCCCAUUUAAGCCCCCCAAUCUGUAUUAUUUGUUAUGAAAGCCCAAGCAAACUAACAAACUAAUAUAAACUCUGGCCUAGGCUUCAUGCAAUUUAAUUCUUUCUAAGUCAUGAUUUUCCUCCUCUGUUAGAUAAUCAGUGAUGAAAACUAAUGUGUAUGUUACUGUUAAAGAGUGGCAAAGAGAAUAAGGCCUUUGUUUUUCUUUAACUGAUCUGCCUAUUUUCAGGAAGUACCUGCUUUUAUACCUAGUUAAAGCAGAUGCAGACUUUCUUUGUGAAAUACAAUUCUUUUCUCCUCUCUUUGAAAAAAUAAAUAUCUUCUGAAGAUAUAUUUUUAUUUGGUUGAAUAAUGUUUAACCUUGUUUUGCAAAUAAUCACUUGCCUGGAAUAUUGCUGAUGGUCAUGAAAGUAGCAGAGAACACUUGAUUUAUUUUACUACCCUGGUUGGAAAAACAUAUUUGGUUAGUUUGCACAUUUUGUUGAAUUGAUUUGAAGCAAUUAUGCUUUGGUUUAUAGUUUUUUUCUGAGAAGAUAUAUUGGGCAAAGAAAGUGGGAUGAGAAGUUAAAUCCCACUUAGUUACCAAGUGGCCAUGUUGUCUUGAGUUAGCUAACUGGAUUUUCUGAGUCUACUAACUACUUUGUAAUAUGACAUCAAUCUCAUGGUUGCCUGACCUGGUCAUUCGUUCAUAAUUCAAGAAAUAAACAAGUAGGCACUGAGGACUGUAUUAGAUGUUGGUGACUCAGUGGAGAACAAAACUAGCCACAGUCUAUUUUUGGAGCUUACAUUUUAGUGGGAAAAUUAACAUUUGUCAGAGAAAUACACAAAUAAAUAUAAAGUUGCAAUUUUGCUAACUCCUGUGAGGCGAGAGGCAUGGUACUUUGAAAGCUUAUCAUGGGACUGGAGAGGGGGCAGGAGAGGAGUGUAUUUGAUCUAAUCAGAGUGUUUGAAGGUCUCCCCAAGGAAUUGAUAAUUGCCCUGAUAUCUGACAGAUGGAUAAGAUGCUAACUAGGUCACUGGAAGGAUAAAAAAAGGCAGUGGAUAUGGAUAUGAUAUGUGGUACUGUUUUCUUAUUAUCAUUAUUAUUAUUUAAUAAAUGGAUGCCUACUCAACUUUUUUUUUAACCUAGUCAGUGAAGUUACACUGUGUCUUAUGACAACUCUUUGUCUUCAAUAAAUCUUUCCAAUCUUGAAGUUGAUAUACCCACAAAAAUUCAUAUUGUCAAAGUAAUUGCCACCUGCCACCUUUAUGAGAAAAAAUAGCAAAAAUACAACAACACAAAACAAAACAAUUCAGUGUAAAUCAUGGCCCUUUUACAUUUUUCUUAAUCUUGCUACAAGUAACCAUUCUCUAUACUUAUUUGAUAAAAUAAGUUUCAUAUCUGCUGUAUUUCUCAUAUUAAACCUGAAUUACGGAAUUCUUUCUGUACCUAAUCUCAUGUAUUGGAAAGAGAGUCAAUUCUCUUCAGCUUAAUCCUACUCAAUUGAAAGCCUUUGUAAUAACAUACAUUAUUUUUGAAGACUUAUGACCAGUAAACUGCAUACUUCAAAAAUGGACCAUCUAAGCCCAAUGGGCACCAUUUAACAACAAACUGUCUGAUUCCCUAAUACCAGGCAAUUAUAUAAGGACUAUCCAAACAUAAUAAACUACCUUUUCCCCUCAAGGGAGGACUUAAAUGGAUAUUCACUUAUUUCUGCUCCUUUCAUAUAACAUUGUUACUUUCCCAUCUGAAUUGAGACCAAGUCGGCGAGAUGGGUUAAGCUCUUCUAACUGAGAACAAACUGAACCCAGAUGUGAACUGAGGAAGGUGGGCCAAUUUUGCUUUCAGUCUUGGCAGAACCAAAGGGCUAAUUUUUUCAAAGCUUUGCAGUACCUGGCAACUCUGGGUCAAUGCUAUGAAGGUUAAGCUCACGAAUGUUCACUUAGCAAUUCUCUGAUAAUAACUUUGCCAUCAAUGGACAGAAAAACUUAAUUUGUUUUUUCUUACUUUGGUGAUAUAUUUCUGGAAUGUGAUUUUACUGUAUAUAUACUAAAUAACUAGCUCUUUAGAUCAUUCUAAGCUGGCUUAACUGAGAACUUUUUAAAAUUGAAAAGAAAUUGAGACUUUUCAUUGGUAAGCAAUUCUGAAGCAGAGAUAACUUAAUGGAUCUUUUUAUUGGCCUAAUUUUGAAAGGUUUGCAUAAAAAUGCCCCUGUACAGAAACAAAAAUGGAAGCCAAUGUUUGACAUGGUAACGGAACUGGGAUGAGGUGGAAUACUUGCCUCAGAUCUAGUGGCUUAAAUUGAGUAAUUACUGGGGUCUGACUAGUGGACUCAGAAUGCUGGAAUGUUUGGGAAAGAUGGAGACAUAGGUGAAAGUCUACUUUCAUUUAGGAGAGAGAGACUUUAAGAUCAAUAAACAGCACUUAGUUGAAACCGCUAAUGAGUUACACAACGUAUCUCAGAAAUCACAAGUUUAUUUUGCUUUUGUGAGAACUUAGAAUAACUUGUGGCUGAGGCUGUCAACACACUAGACCACAGUCUUGUGGCAGCCUCUGGUUUUUCUAGUGCCUGAGAAGUGUAAAGUUCCAAGACAAGAGCCGGAGCCCUUUCAUCUGAAGCAUGCAGCUCAUCAGCUCCAGGAUGGAAAGCAACUCGAGACGUACCAUCUCAAAGCACCAAGGAUGUAAGAUUAUGAAAGCCAAGCUCUUGAUAUUCCUUCACAUUUCCAGCACUCCCACAUUUAAAAAAAAUAUAUACUCUCUUCCAAAGCUGACAUUUUGAAAAUGUGGAACACAGACUUUAACCCUGAGCUCUUCUUCUUAUUUCUUUCCCCCCCUUUUUGUGAAUUAAUGAAUAUACUUGAAAAUAAUUUGUGUUGUGUGUUGUGUCUCCU